GGGCCAUAGUUUAGUGCUAGAGCAUCGGUUUUGAAUGCAGAAGGUCCCGGGUUCAAUCCCCAUCAUCUCCA